rnacentral:rRNA from 1 species
UACGGAGGGUGCAAGCGUUGCUCGGAAUUACUGGGCGUAAAGCGUACGCAGGCUGUCCGUUAAGUCGGGUGUGAAAUCCCGGGGCUCAACCCCGGGUCUGCAUUCGAUACGGGCAGACUAGAGUUCGGUAGGGGAGUCUGGAAUUCCUGGUGUAGCGGUGGAAUGCGCAGAUAUCAGGAGGAACACCGAUGGCGAAGGCAGUUCUCUGGGCCGUAACUGACGCUGAGGAGCGAAAGCGUGGGGAGCGAACAGG